UACGAGGGGGGCGAGCGUUGUUCGGAAUUAUUGGGCGUAAAGCGCGUGUAGGCGGCCGUGCAAGUCGGGUGUGAAAGCCCUCGGCUCAACCGAGGAAGUGCGCCCGAAACUGCAUGGCUUGAGUACCGGAGAGGAUGGCGGAAUUCCCCAAGUAGAGGUGAAAUUCGUAGAUAUGGGGAGGAACACCGGUGGCGAAGGCGGCCAUCUGGACGGAUACUGACGCUGAGACGCGAAAAGCGUGGGGGAGCAAACAGGA
rnacentral:rRNA from 1 species